CACGUAGGGGGCAAGCGCUGUCCGGAUUUAUUGGGCGUAAAGAGCUCGUAGGCGGUUCGGUAAGUCGGGUGUGAAACCUCCAGGCUCAACCUGGAGACGCCACCCGAUACUGCUGUGACUAGAGUCCGGUAGGGGAGCGUGGAAUUCCUGGUGUAGCGGUGAAAUGCGCAGAUAUCAGGAGGAACACCAGCGGCGAAGGCGGCGCUCUGGGCCGGAACUGACGCUGAGGAGCGAAAGCGUGGGGAGCAAACAGG
rnacentral:rRNA from 1 species